CUUUAUAAACCUCCAUUAGCAGAGCCCGGGCCGGCAGCCGGCAGAAACGUCUGCUGAGGAAGACACUGCAAAGUGUCAGCAAGGGCGUCUGGGAAUUAAUUUUACCCUAGAGUAGCUGUGCAGGUCUGUUGAGCCCCCAACUCUACAGCUAUGAACACCAGAUAACACUAGAAGCAGUCUGAUGCCUUGAACACUUCAUACGAAGGGGUUUUCAAAAUCUAGCCACAAACAUAUGACCAGAUUGAAAGAUUUUGAGACGAGGAAGGAGUCUAUUCUGACACAGCCUCACACAGGAGAGAGGGGACUUUCUCGGGCACAGUGGUCUCAUGGCACUAUUGAGAAGAAGCAGUAUGAGAAGGUGAAAAUGGAAGCCACAAAGGUUCUUAAAGCCAAGGCUCCGAAGCUAUGCAGUGCCACAUCAGGAGCAUUCUACAGGUCAAAGCCAGCAUGGGGUCAGCCCAGGUUCAAAAGAGAGGAAACAGACUCCACCUGCUGAGAGGAGCAACAAGUCUCAUCAUAAAAGGCCUCCAGGACGCCUGAGUGCCUCAGUCAGUUAAGCGUCCGACUUUGGCUCAGGUCAGGAUCUCGCGGUUCAUGAGUUCGGGUCCCGCAUCUGGCUCUGUGCUGACAGUUCAGAGCCUGGAGCCUGCUUCAGAUUCUGUGUCUCCUUUUCUCUCUGCCCCUUCCCUACUCACUCUC